GACGAACGCUGGCGGCGUGCUUAACACAUGCAAGUCGAACGGUGAAGCGCCUUCCUUUUUGGUGGGUGUGGAUGAGUGGCGAACGGGUGAGUAACACGUGAGUAACCUGCCCCCUUCUUCUGGAUAACCGCAUGAAAGUGUGGCUAAUACGGGAUAUUAUGGGUCUGUCGCAUGAUGGGUCUGGGAAAGAUAUUGUUUCGGUGGGGGAUGGGCUCGCGGCCUAUCAGCUUGUUGGUGGGGUGAUGGCCUACCAAGGCGGUGACGGGUAGCCGGCCUGAGAGGGUGGACGGUCACACUGGGACUGAGACACGGCCCAGACUCCUACGGGAGGCAGCAGUGGGGAAUAUUGCACAAUGGGCGCAAGCCUGAUGCAGCGACGCCGCGUGAGGGAUGGAGGCCUUCGGGUUGUGAACCUCUUUCGCCAGUGAAGCAGGCCUGCCUCGUUUGUGGGUGGGUUGACGGUAGCUGGAUAAGAAGCGCCGGCUAACUACGUG
rnacentral:rRNA from 1 species